rnacentral:rRNA from 1 species
GAUGAACGCUGGCGGCGUGCCUAAUACAUGCAAGUCGAGCGAACAGACGAGGAGCUUGCUCCUCUGACGUUAGCGGCGGUCGGGUGAGUAACACGUGUAUAACCUACCUAUAAGACUGGGAUAACUUCGGGAAACCGGAUCUAAUACCGGAUAAUAUAUUGAACCGCAUGGUUCAAUAGUGAAAGACGGUUUUGCUGUCACUAAUAGAUGGAUCCGCGCCGCAGUAGCUAGUUGGUAGGGUAACGGCUUACCAAGGCAACGAUGCGUAGCCGACCGGAGGGGGUGUCCGGCCACCCGGAACUGGAAACGCGGCCGAGCCCCCCAGGGGGGGACGAGAGGGGAAUUUUGGCGAAUGGGGGGAAACCGGAAGGGGGCAACCCGGGGGGGGUAAGAAGGUUUUUGGAUUGGAAAACCUUUUUUGUUGGGAGAAAAAAAAGGAGAAUGAAACCUUGCCGUUUUGACGGUACCUAAACAAAAAGGACCGGCUAACUUCGUG